UUUUUUAAUUGAAAGCUUGUAUGAAUGGUUGAAUGAGAUAUUAGCUGUAUUAUAAAUAAUUAAUUAAAAUUUUAUUUUUUAGUAAAAAAGCUAAAAUAUUUUUGAGGGACGAGAAGACCCUAUAGAGUUUUAUAUAUUAAUUUAAUUAUUAUUUAUAAAAUUAAGAUUUAAUUUUAAUUAUUAAUAUAUUUUAUUGGGGUGAUAAAAAAAUUUAUAUAACUUUUUUUUAUAAAUAACAUUAUUUUUUGAAUAAUUGAUCCAUUAUUAAUGAUUAUAAGAUUAAAUUACCUUAGGGAUAACAGCGUAAUUUUUUUUAAAAGUUCAUAUUAAUAAAAAAGAUUAC
rnacentral:rRNA from 1 species